rnacentral:rRNA from 1 species
GACGAACGCUGGCGGCGUGCUUAACACAUGCAAGUCGAACGGAAAGGCCCUGCUUUUGUGGGGUGCUCGAGUGGCGAACGGGUGUGUAACACGUGAGUAACCUGCCCUUGACUUUGGGAUAACUUCAGGAAACUGGGGCUAAUACCGGAUAGGAGCUCCUGCUGCAUGGUGGGGGUUGGAAAGUUUCGGCGGUUGGGGAUGGACUCGCGGCUUAUCAGCUUGUUGGUGGGGGAGUGGCUUACCAAGGCUUUGACGGGUAGCCGGCCUGAGAGGGUGACCGGCCACAAUGGGACUGAGAUACGGCCCAGACUCCUACGGGAGGCAGCAGUGGGGAAUAUUGCACAAUGGGCGGAAGCCUGAUGCAGCAACGCCGCGUGCGGGAUGACGGCCUUCGGGUUGUAAACCGCUUUCGCCUGUGACGAAGCGUGAGUGACGGUAAUGGGUAAAGAAGCACCGGCUAACUACGUG